CUACCCCGGGGGAAAAUUUUUCUUCUCGGUCCUUUCCGCACUCUCCCGAUUGGGACGGCGUCUUUGCUGCUUGACUUUGGCUGUGGUGCAUUUGCAGGUGGUGUGCGCCGAGUCGCUUGGAGUGGCUGCAUGAGCUCAGUGUUGAGGCCAGCUUGCUGGUACCCACGCUGGGGGAGUGCUGUUCAUUCUGAGUGCUUUUGGGCAUGGCUUCCGAGCCCGAGUGGUUCCAAGCUGAAGGUCAGUGGCGGUCGCAUGCGACACGUGCUGUUCAGCCAGUUUGGUUCAGCUCUCGGCUCUCAUGCUCGCUCUCGGUGUAAAAGCUGGUCAUCUGUCCGACCCGUCUUGAAACACGGACCAAGGAGUUUAUCGUGUGCGCAAGUCAUUGGGCGUUAAAAACCCAAAGGCGCAAUGAAAGUGAACGCAUCCGCAAGGAGCUGACGUGCGAUCCUGGGCACUAUGGUGCCCAGGCGCAGCAUGGCCCCAUCCUGACUGCAUGCAGUGGGGUGGAGGUAGAGCGUACGCGGUGAGACCCGAAAGAUGGUGAACUAUUCCUGAGCAUGAUGAAACCGGAGGAAACUCUGGUGGAAGUCCGAAGCAAUUCUGACGUGCAAAUCGAUCGUCUGACUUGGGUAUAGGGGCGAGAGACUACUCAAACCAUCUAUAGCUGGGUCCUUCCAAGUCGAAGAA
rnacentral:rRNA from 1 species